GUUCAAUACAAAUUACAAUGGUAAAUGACCAUUCAAUGGUCUAUUAUCAACUUUUCCUACCUUUACAAAAAGUAACUGGUCAUCAUUAUAAUCAUCAUUCUCAUCUUCCAGCUAGUCUUUAUGAGCGUUUUUAUCUAGACAAAGUGGUCCUUUUCAUCUUUUUUACUUAUCUCUUUUUUUCUCCUCCAAACUUCUAUUGCUUUAUUAUGUUGCUUUUUGUAAACUCAAUCAUAAACAAUUACCUACAAGUUACCUGAACAUUAUCUUAAUAUUUUAUUUCUUUACGCUCUUUUGAUAUAUCAAAGUAUUCAUUGACCAUUGGUAAUGCUUCGGAAAGAUUCUGUUUGGACUUUUGGAUUUCUCUUUCAGUUUGGUGUUCAACAAUGUAACAAAAGUCAAGCAUGUUUGGGGAAAUAUUUUCAUCAUCAAACAUCCAGAAAUCUAGGAGUUGAACAAAAAAAACGAAGAAAUGAUUGAAGAUAAACAAGACUGAUGAAUGAAUCAAAUAUGAUCAAGACAGCUAACACUGUAAAUUGACAAAGGAUCUUACAGCUAUUCAAUGGACUAUAAUGCAACCUUUAAUGCCCAAAGCAAUGAUAGUAACUACUCUAAUGGUCAAACUGAACACACACAAAGACAAACCAUUUCUUUUCAAUGUUACCCUUUCACUUGGUUGAAUACUGGAGUUGCUGUUGAUGAUGAUAAGAUGAUGGAGGAUUAUGGUGAAGAUAUAAUGAGAUGAUUAUGACGAGGACCAGGACGACGACGGUGGUGGUGGUAGUGAUGAUAAUGAUGACGAUGAAAAGCUAUAACUGCAAGAUGAUGUAAAAUGAACGAGCAUGAGAUUCUGGUGAGAAAAGGAAUCAAAUUUAAGUGAAAGGAAAAGUUGAAAAGGAUUCAAAUGUGAGAAAUUUAGUUAAAUAGUUUGUGGGCUUCAUUUAAUUAAACUUGUUAAUUGUAUACUACCGGUAUGAUCGGUUAUGUAUGUUAUAGAUGUAAAACACCUUAGUUCACUCCUUUUCACCAUCAUCAUCAUCAGCUUGUUUUAUAAUCAUAGGUUUAGAUUGUGUUGUUUUUUCAUUACAACAUUGAAUUUGCAAAGGAAGAGCUGAUGAGGAGGAUGAUGAAGAUGGAGAUGGCAGAAACAAUAAAAAACGAGAAAAAGGUUUGGGUGCAAGAAAAGGUUAAAAAAAGUAUGGAAACAGUUUAAAAAAAAA